CACAGAAGCUCUCUGAACCCUGUACUUUGGGGUUUUUAUGGAGGCUUCCUCACCUGGGCAUGACUGAUCAUUAUCUCCAUUUCUGGUCCUUCUCCUCCUUCUGGAGAAUGGGGAAUGAGGCUGAAAAUUCCACCUUCUAAUCAUGGUUUGGUCUUUCCACUCAAAAUUGCAAAUGUUUCUCAGCUGCCAUGCUGUGAAAACGACUUCAUUCAUGAGAGCCUCCAGAACCAUGAAUUGUCCUGAGAGGAAAGAGUUGAAUGAAAGAUUUGCUGUUGUGUCCUCAGCUCCCAGAAUGGUGCCCUGAUCAACAGCCACUGUACGAAUGAAUCGAACAUCUU